UAUAUAAUGAUGCAAAGUUGUCUCAUACUACAUAAAGCUUUGUGCCAAAUCUAUGAAAAUUCAAGGGAUUAAACAAAAUUAAUCAGAGGCUUAUAAAAUUAUCUAAAUCAUCUCCCCUUAUGGUGCAUAAAGUUUACAAUAUAAAAAUAUUCUCUAGCUGGAGACAGUUUCAUAAGUAUUUGUUGGAACAACCUGUGUCAAACAAUUUUUCUUUUACCAAUUCAUUUAUUUUCUUUGUGAUCAUAAGCCUUCUGAACCAUGAGAACAUUCUGGAACCAUAAGUAUAUGGUCUCCAAACACCUUCACGGUAGAAACUUCCAUCCUGUGAACUUGCUCUGAGGGUUGCAUACCUGCCAAAUCUCCUAUAAUUACAGAAGGGCUUCCAUAGGAGGAGCUUUCAGCAAACAUCAGGAAAUGUGGUAUCUGCCACUAAAUUAACCUCACUUUCAUGAAUGCCCCUGCCACAGAGGGAUUGACUGAAGCCCAAUAGACCCAAAGAAGGACUCAGACUCACCAGCUUGGGCCAUGUUUCCACCACUAACUGAAGUAACUGUGGCUACUAGAACAUGUAGCCUGUGCUCUUAGCCAUAGUGCUUCAGAUAAGCACAAUAAUAUUAGUGAUCUAUCACUUACUUCUAUACUAUGUGCCAGGUACAAUUGUAAGUAAUGUGCAUACGUAGUAUGGACUUAAUCUCACCACAGCCCUAUAAGGUCAGUAUUAUUAUGAUGACAUUCAUUGCAUAGAUGAGAAAAUUGUAGCACAAAGAGUCCAAGUAAGUUGCUCAAUGUUUUAGUAACUUGCAUAACUAGUAAGUGGUACAGCAGAAUUCCAAACUCAGGCAAUCUCUGACUUUCAGUUCCAUGUGAAAGCAAAAGCAAAAGUGGGGUUUUUGGGACCUUAAUAUGCUAUACUCUGUCAUUAUUUUAUAGAGGUACUUCAUAGGGCAGAGUUUUUUCUUCCUAAUUCAUUCGUUUAUGAAAUACUGCCUUUCAGGGUCUUGGCUCUAUUUGAAGCCUAACAAGACUUCCAAAAUUUUGCUGGCCUUAAGUUUCAUUUCCAGUCCUCUCUGUGUCUGUAUGAUUAAACUCAAAAUGUCUAGCUACCAGGAAUGAGCAGAUGUCCUCAGAGCAAGUACUGGCUUUAGAGGAUUGUUGCUUUUGUGGAUUACACAUUCUCACCAUUUUGAUAUUGACGGAUUUCUCUCCCUUUUCUCCACCCAAAUGUGAAUUUAAAGAGAUUUAUUAUUUUCUAUUCGGCAUAAAAGUUGGUCUUUACCAGUAGGAAUUGCCACAAAAUAAAGUAUAAUUUUUAUUAUAUUUAGAAAUAACAGCAAGUUCUUGAGUAAACAUAGUGAAAGUUAAUAAACUUAUCGUGAAAUGCAAAGGUAUGCAGAUAAAAUAUCUAAUUCUUUAUUUUUUUGAGACAAGUUUUUCUCUACCACUCAGUCUGGAGUGCAGUGGCACAAUCACAGCUCAUGGUAGCCUCAAAUUCCUGGGCUCAAGCAAUCCUC
rnacentral:lncRNA from 10 species